CCUACGGGAGGCAGCAGUGAGGAAUAUUGGUCAAUGGGCGCGAGCCUGAACCAGCCAAGUCGCGUGAAGGAUGACGGACCUACGGUUUGUAAACUUCUUUUAUAAGGGAAUAAAGUGAGGCACGUGUGCAUAUUUGUAUGUACUUUAUGAAUAAGGAUCGGCUAACUCCGUGCCAGCAGCCGCGGUAAUACGGAGGAUGCGAGCGUUAUCCGGAUUUAUUGGGUUUAAAGGGGGCGUAGGUGGGUUUUUAAGUCAGCGGUGAAAGUUUGUGGCUCAACCGUAAAAUUGCCGUUGAUACUGGCAGACUUGUGUAUGUUUGAGGUAGGCGGAAUGCGUGGUGUAGCGGUGAAAUGCAUAGAUAUCACGCAGAACUCCGAUUGCGAAGGCAGCUUACUAAGCCAUCACUGACACUGAUGCACGAAAGCGUGGGGAUCAAACAGGAUUAGAUACCCGAGUAGUA
rnacentral:rRNA from 1 species